UACGUAGGCGGAAAAUUAAGUCAGUGGUGAAAUCCUGCAGCUUAACUGUAGAACUGUCAUUGAUACUGGUUUUCUUGAAUAUAGUUGAGGUAGGCGGAAUAAGUAAUGUAGCGGUGAAAUGCUUAGAUAUUACUUAGAACACCGAUUGCGAAGGCAGCUUACUAAGCUAUGAUUGACGCUGAGGUACGAAAGCGUGGGGAGCGAACAGGAUUAGAUACCCUGGUAGUCC
rnacentral:rRNA from 1 species